rnacentral:rRNA from 1 species
AGAGGUUGAUCCUGGCUCAGGACGAACGCUGGCGGCGUGCCUAAUACAUGCAAAGUAGAACGCUGAAGACUUUAGCUUGCAAAAGUUGGAAGAGUUGCGAACGGGGGAGUAACGCGUAGGUAACCUGCCUACUAGCGGGGGAUAACUAUUGGAAACGAUAGCUAAUACCGCAUAACAGCAUUUAACCCAUGUUAGAUGCUUGAAAGGAGCAAUUGCUUCACUAGUAGAUGGACCUGCGUUGUAUUAGCUAGUUGGUGAGGUAACGGCUCACCAAGGCGACGAUACAUAGCCGACCUGAGAGGGUGAUCGGCCACACUGGGACUGAGACACGGCCCAGACUCCUACGGGAGGCAGCAGUAGGGAAUCUUCGGCAAUGGGGGCAACCCUGACCGAGCAACGCCGCGUGAGUGAAGAAGGUUUUCGGAUCGUAAAGCUCUGUUGUAAGAGAAGAACGUGUGUGAGAGUGGAAAGUUCACACAGUGACGGUAACUUACCAGAAAGGGACGGCUAACUACGUGCCAGCAGCCGCGGUAAUACGUAGGUCCCGAGCGUUGUCCGGAUUUAUUGGGCGUAAAGCGAGCGCAGGCGGUUUAAUAAGUCUGAAGUUAAAGGCAGUGGCUUAACCAUUGUUCGCUUUGGAAACUGUUAGACUUGAGUGCAGAAGGGGAGAGUGGAAUUCCAUGUGUAGCGGUGAAAUGCGUAGAUAUAUGGAGGAACACCGGUGGCGAAAGCGGCUCUCUGGUCUGUAACUGACGCUGAGGCUCGAAAGCGUGGGGAGCAAACAGAAUUAGAUACCCUGGUAGUCCACGCCGUAAACG